rnacentral:rRNA from 1 species
CCUACGGGUGGCAGCAGUGGGGAAUAUUGGACAAUGGGGGGAACCCUGAUCCAGCCAUGCCGCGUGUGUGAAGAAGGCCCUCGGGUUGUAAAGCACUUUCAGUGAGGAAGAACGCCUGGUGGUUAAUACCCAUCAGGAAAGACAUCACUCACAGAAGAAGCACCGGCUAACUCCGUGCCAGCAGCCGCGGUAAUACGGAGGGUGCGAGCGUUAAUCCGAAUUACUGGGCGUAAAGCGCGCGUAGGUGGCUUGAUAAGCCGGUUGUGAAAGCCCCGGGCUCAACCUGGGAACGGCAUCCGGAACUGUCAAGCUAGAGUGCAGGAGAGGAAGGUAGAAUUCCCGGUGUAGCGGUGAAAUGCGUAGAGAUCGGGAGGAAUACCAGUGGCGAAGGCGGCCUUCUGGACUGACACUGACACUGAGGUGCGAAAGCGUGGGUAGCAAACAGGAUUAGAUACCCUUGUAGUC